UCUCAUCAUGGCCACUUAGCUUGCUCGAGAUUACACAGAACCAUGCCUCUGGUUUCCUGGUACAGUGCUCCGGCAGGUGACGGAUGCUCCUGGGUGACAUAUCACGGAUCUCUCUGAGGUAAGACGUGCCUUUUGCCUUCCACCUUCUGCCGUGAUUGUGAGGACCCGCCAGCCACGUGGAACUGUGAGUCCAUUAAACUUCUUUUUCUUUAUAAAUUAUCUAGUGGUGGAGCCCUAGAUUUGAAAAAAGAUGCUUCUGUGGUUCCAGGCAAGAUGGCUGACUAGGAACAGCUCCGGUCUGCAGCUCCCAGCGAGACCAACACAGAAGGCAGGCCGUCAUCCUUAAGCCAUAAAAUGCCCUGUAGAGGUGGAACAGGUCAGAAGACUGAAUGCUCAAGCUGCAUGUGGAGUUAACAUGGCAAUAACACAGAAUGUGAUGACAGCAGACUCUAGAAUCUCAUGACAUCAGUUUAUAUUAGAACUGUUCUGUAGCUCACCUUUCUCCGAAGUUGGAAUUCACAUGGCUGUGGAAUGUGUUUCUACCUUCACUGUUGGAGGAGUCAUCCAACAAAUCCAGGGGUGGGAAAACAGCUGGAUAAGGACAAUAACAUAUAUGACAGCUGUACAAUCC
rnacentral:lncRNA from 10 species